rnacentral:rRNA from 1 species
UACGAAGGGGGCUAGCGUUGCUCGGAAUGACUGGGCGUAAAGGCGCGUAGGCGGUUCGUACAGUCAGACGUGAAAUUCCCGGGCUCAACCUGGGGGCUGCGUUUGAUACGUGCGGGCUUGAGUUCGGAAGAGGGUCGUGGAAUUCCCAGUGUAGAGGUGAAAUUCGUAGAUAUUGGGAAGAACACGGUGGCGAAGGCGGCGACCUGGUCCGAUACUGACGCUGAGGCGCGAAAGCGUGGGGAGCGAACAGG